ensembl:lncRNA
AUCACUCCUCUUUGAACUGGAGGCCCAAGAAAAUGCUCUCGAUUCGUGUGUGCAGAACCAGCCUUGCCCCCGGGGGAAAGAUGAUUCUUUCGGUAGCCUGAGAAGCAACGUUUUCUACAAUGAAGUACAGACUUGUCAACAGUGUGUAAGAAAGCAGCCAUUUCUAAUAGACAAGAAAAUGCAAACAUGCACUAAGUCAUAAUGUUCGGAGACUUGGUCUUUAGAGGUCAGCAGCAAUAUGGGAAAUUAUGCUGUCUUUUUUGAAACCAAGUUUCACUGGGGCCUUGAACUCAUAGUCCUGCCUCUGCUUCCUGAGGCCUGGGCUUAUAGGUACCAAUGUUAAUUAUGUACGCAUUUCAUUUUAACAUAGACAUUGGAUGGAGGAAAAGAAGGAGUCCUAUAUGCUGGAAAUCUGCACUUUUUAGUGCCUGCUAUCCUGGAAUUGUGAACCAAAGUAAACAUUCCCUUCCUUCGCUUGCUUUUCUUGGGAUUGUUUGUCACAGUAACGGAGAUGAGGAGUAAGGUACAAACUGAUACACAGAGAUGUCAUCGUUUUCACGCUCCAGCCAAUCUCGGAUUUUCAUUGCAUUCUAUUCUGAGUCCUUUCAAAGCGAUGAACUUCCAAAAAUCGAACCGAGCACGUAUGUAACAAUGUGACUUAAAAUAUACCCCUGAAAAGCUUG